CCUACGGGAGGCUGCAGUGGGGAAUAUUGGACAAUGGGCGAAAGCCUGAUCCAGCCAUGUCGCGUGUGUGAAGAAGGCCUUCGGGUUGUAAAGCACUUUCAGUGGGGAAGAAAGCCUUGGGGCUAAUACCCUCGAGGAAGGACAUCACCCACAGAAGAAGCACCGGCUAACUCCGUGCCAGCAGCCGCGGUAAUACGGAGGGUGCGAGCGUUAAUCGGAAUUACUGGGCGUAAAGCGCGCGUAGGCGGUCUGAUAAGCCGGUUGUGAAAGCCCCGGGCUCAACCUGGGAACGGCAUCCGGAACUGUCAGGCUAGAGUGCAGGAGAGGAAGGUAGAAUUCCCGGUGUAGCGGUGAAAUGCGUAGAGAUCGGGAGGAAUACCAGUGGCGAAGGCGGCCUUCUGGACUGACACUGACGCUGAGGUGCGAAAGCGUGGGUAGCAAACAGGAUUAGAUACCCUAGUAGUC
rnacentral:rRNA from 1 species